rnacentral:rRNA from 1 species
GGAUCAUGGCUCAGGAUGAACGCUAGCUACAGGCUUAACACAUGCAAGUCGCGGGGCAGCAUGAAGUCAGCUUGCUGACUUUGAUGGCGACCGGCGCACGGGUGAGUAACGCGUAUCCAACCUGCCUGUUACCACGGCACAGCCCGUCGAAAGGCGGAUUAAUGCCGUAUGUGGUCCUUUGCGGGCAUCUAAUUAGGACUAAAGGUUCGGCGGUAACGGAUGGGGAUGCGUCCGAUUAG